rnacentral:rRNA from 1 species
AUUGAACGCUGGCGGCAGGCCUAACACAUGCAAGUCGAGCGGAUGAAGGGAGCUUGCUCCUGGAUUCAGCGGCGGACGGGUGAGUAAUGCCUAGGAAUCUGCCUGGUAGUGGGGGAUAACGUCCGGGAACGGGCGCUAAUACCGCAUACGUCCUGAGGGAGACAGUGGGGGAUCUUCGGACCUCACGCUAUCAGAUGAGCCUAGGUCGGAUUAGCUAGUUGGUGGGGUAAAGGCCUACCAAGGCGGCGAUCCGUAACUGGUCUGAGAGGAUGAUCAGUCACACUGGAACUGAGCCACGGUCCAGACUCCUACGGGAGGCAGCAGUGGGGAAUAUUGGACAAUGUGCGAAAGCCUGAUCCAGCCAUGCCGCGUGUGUGAAGAAGGUCUUCGGAUUGUAAAGCACUUUAAGUUGGGAGGAAGGGCAGUAAGUUAAUACCUUGCUGUUUUGACGUUACCAACAGAAUAAGCACCGGCUAACUUCGUG